rfam:Dipodomys ordii contig_71214, whole genome shotgun sequence.
GGGAAUGUGGCUUAGUGGUAGAGUGCUUGCCUAGCACUCAUGAAGCCCUAGGUUCGAUUCCUUGGUACCA